ACCUAGAAAGCAGAGGAAGGUAG
rnacentral:piRNA from 1 species